GGUUUCUGCGGGGCCUCCCGCGUUAACCCUUCGCUUCCCAAGGGCUUGGGGUACGAGGGCCCCGCCAUUCCUUCCUCCCCAGAAACCCAGGCUCGGCUGGGAAUGGAAACCCGGGUUGUAUCUUGGCUGCAUAGGAAGUAGGAGUUGUGACCCAGGAGUCGGAAUUCAGAGCCCCAAGGAGGUUGACAAGCUCGUUAUUGGCCCCGUUCCCCGGAAACAAGGUCCAGAUCUUGCUCGUUUUGGACCUCGGCAUCAUCCUCAACUUGCCAGUUAGCGGGCUUCCCCCUUCCCCCGUCUCCUGGGUUUGUCGAGGGUGGGCGGGGGAUUCUACAUCGCGGGCGAAAAUGCCCCCUAGGGGCCGUUUCGAAAUGUGCGGGGGCAUUUUUUGGGGUGUCCCAAUUGCAAGGUACAGCCCCUGUCGUUUUGAAGGUAGGGAGCAGGCCUGCGUGAAGAAUUGUCCCGCCCAGGACGUCCGUGGUCUCUCCGUUGAGAAGCCCUUUCACAUGAUGCUUAUACCGUGGCUGGCAUAUAGUAGAUGUGAGAGUGACGUCGGGAGAAUCUAGAAGGAGCUUGGGCAGCAGGGAAACUCAGGCACACAAAAGGGGAGACAGCAGCCUAACUCCUAUCCAAAGGCUUUGAGACACAACUAAGAUCACAAGAUGCGUACCGCCCUGCCUCCGAGAGUCUAUGCUCCAGAAAUUCCAGCACCAGCACAUGAACAGUUACGAUAAGGAAGUUCACCGUGACAGGGUUUGGAACAACAAGAAACGGGGGAAAAAAUGAGAGUCAUCUUUGGAGCCCAGGCGAAUGACAGAAGCAUCAACUAUCACUUGGUGGCAGCAUACCCAAGUGUAGGUCUUGUCCUACUAAUCAGUAAUCGGCGAGCGGAAAGGUGGAGUGCGCAUGCUGGAAUGGCCGUGGCCUUCAGACCACAGUUCUGCUCUGGCCUGUUCUAGGACUCCCACCCCUGAUCUUCCUGUAAACCGCAAGCACCCAGGAAAGGCGCUGUCCCCGGUGGGUGUGUACGACGUGCCGGCCCCGGCCGAAUGCCUCAUAGGGCAAGCAGGAGUGUCCAAGCCUCCUCACUCCAGGCCUUGGCCCAGCUGCCUCACUCCAGCUUACAGAUGACAAAACAAAGUCUUCACGCACACCUCCGUCCAAGGGCACAUGACAUCCUUAGGCUUUUCCAGAUCCUUUAGAGUGGCGGAAGGACUUGAGAGCCUGAGCUCUUCCAACAAACACGUCCACGUGUGCCUGUGGGGUCCUCGAGAGCGAUACUGUGCCCAGGCUUCUCGUGGCCACGGCGCCUGGCGGGGUGAGCGGACUGGUGGGAUGCGUGGUAGCUAUGCCUUCCCUGGGCAACCUGAGAGGCAAAAUGAUUGAACUCGGUCACCGCAUAAGUUUGAGGUCUACAGCAUGAUGGUUUGACCUGGUGAAAUGGUUGCUGCGAUAGGUUUAGCUUCUCAUGUAAAUACAAUAAAGAAAAGAAAAAGAAAAAGGAGAAGAAAUUCUCCUU